rnacentral:pre_miRNA from 1 species
CUACUUUACUCUUGUGCUUUAGGAGGUUUUUUUUAAUCUUCCCGUACCACAUUUCUGAGUCAGAUUACUGAAUAUCAAAACACCUUUCAUCGGAAGUGUCUUGAAAUAGGUUGCUAUUCAGUAUUUUGACUCAGAAAGGUGUCGUGGGAAUAUCGGAAAUGUUUUGGUAUUUUCUGAGUGACAGUAG